UGAAAUAUUUAUUGUAUACAUUUACAAUUUUAAAUUAUUUUUAUUUCCAGCUUAGAUGGGCAUGCUGCAACUCUGACAGUUAUAAAUUGUAUCUGAGUAAUAUCUCUGUGAUAUUAAGAUUGGAUUUGCUUAAUAUUUCUUUCGAAAUAGAGUACGUUCGCCACAAUUGUGGCAAUCGUUUGCCAUUAAGGUUGGGGAAUUAAAGAUGAGUUCUUCGAUAUUGGACUCGAGUUUUGAUUAACGUUGAUCACCACAUUACUCAUCCUCCAGUGAAUCGGAGGUGAAACGAACGAUAUUUUGUCCUGUUUUUUGCUGUUAUUAGUGGUGAUAUUGGCUAUUGCGCUUUACCCAUUUUUAUUGUCUGAAUAUUUAUCAGCUUUAUUUAUUUAUUUUUUGGUUGAUUAUUUAUCAGCUUGAUUUAUUUAUUGGCUUAUUAUUUAUCAGCUUGAUUUAUUAAUUUUACAGUAAUCUUGAUUUUGGCAACUUUUUUUAGAUGGUUUCCUGGUACAUGGUUGUUUUUUUCCUUGGAGGAGUUGUGGAUAUCCGUUUCUUAGGUGUGGGUGAACGCUUUGGUCUUCUGCUUACUUUACGUUUCUUAGAUGCUGGUAAUCACUUCGGACUUGUGUGUUUUCACUUAUGCCUUCUUUUUUACCUUGGCGGGCCUUUGAAUAAACUGAGAUUGGGAUUUGAUGUGUAUGAAAAGUUAUGAUAGGGACUUAGUUGAAAUGCAGGGAAUGAGCUAAAUAAUUUAAGACAUAAAGAGGCAGGUGUGUAUUUUUUUUGUUUUUCUUUAAUAUUUUUAAGUUUUUUUUAAUUAUUUAAUUACCACUUUGUGUUGUGAAUUCAAGAAAUGAUACAACAAAUCAUGAUUCAUAAUAAUAUAUAACUGAGGAUAAAAAAAGCUGAUAAAUAUUUAGACAAUAAAGAUGGGUAAGGCUCAACAGCCAUUAUCCCCUCUAGUAACAGCAAGAAACAGGACAAAAUAUCGUUUGUCUCACCUCCGACUCACUCGAGGGGGAGUAAUGUGGUGGCGCUUUAUAAGUCAGACAACAACUACGAGACAUGAGUAAUUACUUCUGUCUUGUGGUCAUAUUACUCGGCUACAAAAAAAAACAUUGUGAGUUUGGUCCUCGCUAUAACCAAAUGCUACAGAGCUAAACUAAUCUUAAGACAUUAAGAGAUAUGAAAAUUGUAUAGCAAAGAUGGAGCUAAACUAAUCUUGAGACAUUGAUCUGGUGUG